rnacentral:rRNA from 1 species
CCCUUAGAUGUUCUGGGCAGCUCGCGCGCUACAAUGGUCUUCGCAAACGGAUGCAUUCUCGAAGGAGAAUGCCAAUCUUGGAAUCUAUGCCUUGGUCGGGACAGUUGCUUGCAAUUUUUCGACUCGAACCAGGAAUUCCUUGUAAUCGUGAUUCAUCACAUCACGAUGAAUACGUCCCUGCCCUUUGUACACACCGCCCGUCGCUCCUACCGAUCGAAGAGUUAGGUGAAUUGUUUUGAUCGAUAAGAUUUGACUAUGGUCAACUCUCGUUGUGAAAUUCUGUGAAUCUGACUGUUUAGAGGAAGGAAAAGUCGUAACA